rnacentral:rRNA from 1 species
UAGGGAAUCUUCGGCAAUGGGGGGAACCCUGACCGAGCAACGCCGCGUGAGUGAAGAAGGUUUUCGGAUCGUAAAGCUCUGUUGUUAAGGAAGAACGAGUGUGAGAAUGGAAAGUUCAUGCUGUGACGGUACUUAACCAGAAAGGGACGGCUAACUACGUGCCAGCAGCCGCGGUAAUACGUAGGUCCCGGGCGUUGUCCGGAUUUAUUGGGCGUAAAGCGAGCGCAGGCGGUUAGAAAAGUCUGAAGUGAAAGGCAGUGGCUCAACCAUUGUAGGCUUUGGAAACUGUUUAACUUGAGUGCAGAAGGGGAGAGUGGAAUUCCAUGUGUAGCGGUGAAAUGCGUAGAUAUAUGGAGGAACACCGGUGGCGAAAGCGGCUCUCUGGUCUGUAACUGACGCUGAUGUGCGAAAGCGUGGGAAUCAAACAGG